ACAUGUUCAUACAUACAUAAAGGAAAUUGAACUUUAAACUCUGUAAUAAUUAUAACUAUGGCAAAGCAUUACUCACCCUUGAGGAGCCAUAAAUUUGGUACUAAUUCCUGUUAAACUUGAGAUAAGCGUUAGUAAUUAUUUAUAUAAUAUAUGUAAGGCCCAAUAUUUGCCCGGGCCCGCAAACCAAAGAUCAAACAAAAAAUAAUACAAAAAAAAAAACAAAACAAAUACCAUAGUUUAUUAAACAGUCCCGAUUACAAACCAAAGCACAAACCAAAGUCCCAAUUAGCCUAAACCCC
rnacentral:lncRNA from 1 species